GCUCAGCACUUCUGCAAAUCAUACUGCAGUGUAUCAGGUCAGACACCCAUAAAAUAAGGAACACAUGAGUGACUAGCUGUGAAAAGUCUGGUGUAACUAACAUAGGAGCUCUGUAGCAGUGAUAUUGUUAGAAUCCAGUUCUCCAGGAGUGCAUUCAACUGCCUUAACCAUGAGACUAUUCUCUCUUUUCUUGCUAACCACUGCCUCAUUUACUACACACCUUCCAACUUCUUCAACAAAGGGGGUAGGGGUCCUACAGACAACAGCUUCCUUUACUAUAUAACAUUGGUUCAUCCUGUGGAAAAAGUAAUAUGAAUUUUAGCUGACAGUAUUGUUUAUGAAAGAAAGAAGCUCAGUUUGUUGAAAAGCUUGGGGACUGAAGUCCUCCAUCUAUACACCAGCACUAAAAGGGAAGUUGCUACACACUGUGUACUGUUUUGUGGACUGCCUUCUUAGAGCCAGAACUGUACAAGCCUCAGGAUUAUAUACACUGAAAAUAAGUUUGCUAACGGAGUUGAACAAAUAGAGUAAACAAAUUGCACUGAUAUUCAUUUGAAUUUUCAAGCUAAUUUUUAUGCCUAUAUGCUUUGAAUAUAUUUGUACUCUUAUGUUUCCUUCAUGUGAAUAUUCUGUGGAAUGGAAUUUAGUGGCAGGAAUGUUAGUAGAAACAGCAACAUUUUAAAAGAUUACUAGAGAAUACUUGUGGAAAGUGAUUUUGGAAUUCUGAAACAUGGAAUUGGCAUGGAAACCUAUUCCUAGGAAAUACAUUUAUCCAAUCAGGCAACAGAAACAUAUCACAUGACCUAUGUGUCCAAUCAAUACUAAUCCACUCAGUUCAAAUUUCUUAUGUUAAACGCUUCCUGGGAACUGCUCUUGAAUUAUUUGCUUAAAUUAUUUGGAGAAUAAUUUUCAAUAAUGCAUUAAUUUGAGGAAAAAAACCCCAUCAGCUCUUUGCUGAUGAUUUACAAACAGAAAGGGAGGCAGAAUUAAUUAAACAAUAUAUUCAUUUUGAAGGAUUCACCCAGCUUGGUGUCUAAUACAAUAUCUUUAUGCAAAGUAUACACAGUACAUAGUUUUCUGAAAUGUAUUAGAGUAUCAAUCUUUUAUAGCUAAUUUGCAACAGAAUCAUUUUGAUUUAGAAAAGUUUGAACUAAAACCACCUUGCUUUUUACACACAUACCCUACUAUUUUCCUCAGAAAAAUUGCAGGGCUCAGGUAGCUGUCCUUUUGUAUGCUUAGCACAUUGUGUUUUGCUGUACCAUAUAGACCUAGAAAUUAUUAUUGCCCCAUAUAAGUAUAAACAAUGAAAACUGACAAUGCCAUCCAACAUUUACUAAAUCAGGCAAAACUGUCAAAAUGUGUGUAUUGAUGUGAAACUUUCAAUGCAAUGUUUGUAAAAAAUACUUUUUUGUCUUUUGAAAAAAGUUGAAGAUGUUUUUAUAAAAAUAUACUG